GGUGUGACUGCGUACCUUUUGUAUAAUGGGUCAGCGACUUAUAUUCUGUAGCAAGGUUAACCGUAUAGGGGAGCCGCAGGGAAACCGAGUCUUAACUGGGCGUUAAGUUGCAGGGUAUAGACCCGAAACCCGGUGAUCUAGCCAUGGGCAGGUUGAAGGUUGGGUAACACUAACUGGAGGACCGAACCGACUAAUGUUGAAAAAUUAGCGGAUGACUUGUGGCUGGGGGUGAAAGGCCAAUCAAACCGGGAGAUAGCUGGUUCUCCCCGAAAGCUAUUUAGGUAGCGCCUCGUGAACUCAUCUUCGGGGGUAGAGCACUGUUUCGGCUAGGGGGUCAUCCCGACUUACCAACCCGAUGCAAACUACGAAUACCGAAGAAUGUUAUCACGGGAGACACACGGCGGGUGCUAACGUCCGUCGUGAAGAGGGAAACAACCCAGACCGCCAGCUAAGGUCCCAAAGUCAUGGUUAAGUGGGAAACGAUGUGGGAAGGCACAGACAGCCAGGAUGUUGGCUUAGAAGCAGCCAUCAUUUAAAGAAAGCGUAAUAGCUCACUGGUCGAGUCGGCCUGCGCGGAAGAUGUAACGGGGCUAAACCAUGCACCGAAGCUGCGGCAGCGACACUAUGUGUUGUUGGGUAGGGGAGCGUUCUGUAAGCCUGCGAAGGUGACCUGUGAGGGUUGCUGGAGGUAUCAGAAGUGCGAAUGCUGACAUAAGUAACGAUAAAGCGGGUGAAAAGCCCGCUCGCCGGAAGACCAAGGGUUCCUGUCCAACGUUAAUCGGGGCAGGGUGAGUCGACCCCUAAGGCGAGGCCGAAAGGCGUAGUCGAUGGGAAACAGGUUAAUAUUCCUGUACUUGGUGUUACUGCGAAGGGGGGACGGAGAAGGCUAUGUUAGCCGGGCGACGGUUGUCCCGGUUUAAGCAUGUAGGCUGGUUAUCCAGGCAAAUCCGGAUAAUCAAGGCUGAGGUGUGAUGACGAGGCACUACGGUGCUGAAGUAACAAAUGCCCUGCUUCCAGGAAAAGCCUCUAAGCAUCAGGUAACAUCAAAUCGUACCCCAAACCGACACAGGUGGUCAGGUAGAGAAUACCAAGGCGCUUGAGAGAACUCGGGUGAAGGAACUAGGCAAAAUGGUGCCGUAACUUCGGGAGAAGGCACGCUGGUGUGUAGGUGAAGUCCCUGCGGAUGGAGCUGAGACCAGUCGAAGAUACCAGCUGGCUGCAACUGUUUAUUAAAAACACAGCACUGUGCAAACACGAAAGUGGACGUAUACGGUGUGACGCCUGCCCGGUGCCGGAAGGUUAAUUGAUGGGGUUAUCCGUAAGGAGAAGCUCUUGAUCGAAGCCCCGGUAAACGGCGGCCGUAACUAUAACGGUCCUAAGGUAGCGAAAUUCCUUGUCGGGUAAGUUCCGACCUGCACGAAUGGCGUAAUGAUGGCCAGGCUGUCUCCACCCGAGACUCAGUGAAAUUGAACUCGCUGUGAAGAUGCAGUGUACCCGCGGCAAGACGGAAAGACCCCGUGAACCUUUACUAUAGCUUGACACUGAACAUUGAGCCUUGAUGUGUAGGAUAGGUGGGAGGCUUUGAAGCGUGGACGCCAGUCUGCGUGGAGCCAACCUUGAAAUACCACCCUUUAAUGUUUGAUGUUCUAACGU
rnacentral:rRNA from 1 species